UCCGUGUUAACCACGGCAGUCUCUCUAGAGUGCCCAACUUAAUGCUGGCAACUAAAGACAAGGGUUGCGCUCGUUGCGGGACUUAACCCAACAUGUCACCACACGAGCUGACGACAGCCAUGCAGCACCUGUCUCUCUGUCGUAUUGCUACGAAUUAUGUAUCUCUACAUCGGUCAGAGGAUGUCAAAUCCAGGUAAGGUUCUUCGCGUUGCUUCGAAUUAAACCACAUGAUCCACUGCUUGUGCGGGCCCCCGUCAAUUCCUUUGAGUUUUAGUCUUGCGACCGUACUCCCCAGGCGGGAUAUUUAUCGCGUUAGCUACGACUCGGCAGGGGUCAAAUCCCACCAAAUCUAAUAUCCAUCGUUUACAGCGUGGACUAC
rnacentral:misc_RNA from 1 species